UGCAACACCAGUUCUCGUACGAUCACAGAAGUUAAGCAACGCCGAGUCUGGUCAGUGCCUAGAUUGGUGACUGUUUGGGAAUACCAGGUGUUGUAAG